rnacentral:tRNA from 1 species
AGCAGCGUAGAGCAGUGGAAGCUCGCCAGGCUCAUAAUCUGGAGGUCGCUGGUUCAAUUCCAGCCGCUGCCACCA